rnacentral:rRNA from 1 species
AUUGCGUGGGGGAACCUAAUCCGCCAUUCCGCGUGUGCGAUGAAGGCCUUCGGGUUGUAAAGCACUUUUGGCAGGAAAGAAAUCGCACAAAUUAAUACUUUGUGUGGAUGACGGUACCUGCAGAAUAAGCACCGGCUAACUACGUGCCAGCAGCCGCGGUAAUACGUAGGGUGCAAGCGUUAAUCGGAAUUACUGGGCGUAAAGCGUGCGCAGGCGGUUCGGAAAGAGAGGUGUGAAAUCCCAGGGCUUAACCUUGGAACUGCACUUUUAACUCCCGAGCUAGAGUAUGUCAGAGGGGGGUGGAAUUCCGCGUGUAGCAGUGAAAUGCGUAGAUAUGCGGAGGAACAUCGAUGGCGAAGGCAGCCCCCUGGGAUGAUACUGACGCUCAUGCACGAAA